GAUGAACGCUGGCGGCGUGCCUAAUACAUGCAAGUCGAGCGAACAGACGAGGAGCUUGCUCCUCUGACGUUAGCGGCGGACGGGUGAGUAACACGUGGAUAACCUACCUAUAAGACUGGGAUAACUUCGGGAAACCGGAGCUAAUACCGGAUAAUAUAUUGAACCGCAUGGUUCAAUAGUGAAAGACGGUUUUGCUGUCACUUAUAGAUGGAUCCGCGCCGCAUUAGCUAGUUGGUACGGUAACGGCUUACCAAGGCAACGAUGCGUAGCCGACCUGAGAGGGUGAUCGGCCACACUGGAACUGAGACACGGUCCAGACUCCUACGGGAGGCAGCAGUAGGGAAUCUUCCGCAAUGGGCGAAAGCCUGACGGAGCAACGUCGCGUGAGUGAUGAAGGUCUUCGGAUCGUAAAGCUCUGUUAUUAGGGAAGAACAAAUGUGUAAGUAACUAUGCACGUCUUGACGGUACCUAAUCAGAAAGCCACGGCUAACUACGUG
rnacentral:rRNA from 1 species